AUUGAACGCUGGCGGCAGGCUUAACACAUGCAAGUCGAGCGGAGACUUCGGUCUUAGCGGCGAACGGGUGAGGAAUGCCUGGGAAUCUGCCUGUUUGUGGGGGAUAACGAAUCGAAAGGUUCGCUAAUACCGCAUACGUCCUACGGGAGAAAGCAGGGGGACCUUCGGGCCUUGCGCUAACAGAUGAGCCCAGGUCGGAUUAGCUAGUUGGUGGGGUAAAGGCUCACCAAGGCGACGAUCCGUAGCUGGUCUGAGAGGAUGAUCAGCCACACUGGAACUGAGACACGGUCCAGACUCCUACGGGAGGCAGCAGUGGGGAAUAUUGGACAAUGGGCGAAAGCCUGAUCCAGCCAUGCCGCGUGUGUGAAGAAGGCCUCGGUU
rnacentral:rRNA from 1 species